rnacentral:rRNA from 1 species
UCCCGCAACGAGCGCAACCCCUGCAUUCAGUUGCCAUCGGGUAAUGCCGGGCACUCUGGAAGGACUGCCAUCGACAAGAUGGAGGAAGUGGGGAUGACGUCAAGUCAUCAUGGCCCUUAUGUCCAGGGCGACACACGUGCUACAAUGGCCGGCACAACGGGAAGCGAGUUCGCGAGGACGAGCGGAUCCCUCAAAGCCGGUCGCAGUUCGGAUUGAAGUCUGCAACUCGACUUCAUGAAGCUGGAAUCGCUAGUAAUCGUGGAUCAGCCAAGCCGCGGUGAAUACGUUCCCGGGCCUU